GGAUCCCAUCAGAACUCUGAAGUUAAGCGUGCUUGGGCGAGAGUAGUACUAGGAUAGGUGACCUCCAUUGCCACGUGCGCAUUAAAUAUUACACAUGGUUUCGAAUUUUUUGUCGUUUCCGGUAAGUUUUACCUUGUGGCUCAUUAAUCACGCGUCUAAGGACGGAUAAGUAGUGUUGGCAAAGGUACCGCGUUCUGAAAGGGGUGUAAACCGUGGUGAAACUCGUGUUGGUGAGGUAGAAAGGGGGGGUGGAAACGAUGGUAAACUAGUCUCCGUCAUUAAGCGACAGAGUAAGAGUGAAGUUGGAGUAUCCGUUAUUAGGCAGUGCUGACAAAGAAGGUAGGGUCGGGUUUAUAGUGGAGCUGGGAGGGGCGAGCAUAAGGGACGAAGUUGGGGAAACAUGUCGGAUGCGAUCAUACCAGCACUAAAGCACC
rnacentral:rRNA from 1 species